rnacentral:ncRNA from 2 species
GGCCGUCCAGCGGGAGAGAACAGUCAUUUGUUAAACGCAAAUGAACUGUCGCCGAAGGGGAAUCCACCCGUAAACUCUCAGGCAUCAAGGACCGUUGUCGGUAA